rnacentral:rRNA from 1 species
CAUGCCACUAACGAAGCAGAGAUGCAUUAGGUGCUCGAAAGAGAAAGUGGACACAGGUGCUGCAUGGCUGUCGUCAGCUCGUGUCGUGAGAUGUUGGGUUAAGUCCCGCAACGAGCGCAACCCUUGCCAAUAAUUGCCAUCAUUUAGUUGGGCACUUUAUUGGGACUGCCGAUGACAAAUCGGAGGAAGGUGGGGAUGACGUCAAGUCCUCAUGGCCCUUAUGGCCAGGGCUUCACACGUAAUACAAUGGUCGGUACAGAGGGCUGCCAACCCGCGAGGGGGAGCCAAUCCCAGAAAGCCGAUCGUAGUCCGGAUUGUUCUCUGCAACUCGAGAGCAUGAAGUCGGAAUCGCUAGUAAUCGCGGAUCAGCAUGUCGCGGUGAAUACGUUCCCGGGCCUUGUACACACCGCCCGUCACACCAUGGGAGUGGGUUUUACCAGAAGUAGUUAGCUUAACCGUAAGGGGGGCGAUUACCACGGUAGUAUUCAUGACUGG